rnacentral:rRNA from 1 species
UACGGAGGGGGCUAGCGUUGUUCGGAAUUACUGGGCGUAAAGCGCACGUAGGCGGCUUUGUAAGUUAGAGGUGAAAGCCCGGAGCUCAACUCCGGAACUGCCUUUAAGACUGCAUCGCUAGAACGUUGGAGAGGUAAGUGGAAUUCCGAGUGUAGAGGUGAAAUUCGUAGAUAUUCGGAAGAACACCAGUGGCGAAGGCGACUUACUGGACAACUGUUGACGCUGAGGUGCGAAAGCGUGGGGAGCAAACAGGAUUAGAAACCCCCGUAGUCC